rnacentral:rRNA from 1 species
GACGAACGCUGGCGGCGUGGAUUAGGCAUGCAAGUCGAACGGUAUCAUCCUUUCGGGGGUGAGAGAGUGGCGAACUGGUGAGUAACACGUAGGUUAUCUACCCUCAAGACGGGGACAACCCAGGGAAACUUGGGCUAAUACCGGAUGUGAGCAACUUUUAGUUGUUUGAAAGGUGGCGUAAGCUGUCGCUUGGGGAUGAGCCUGCGUCCUAUUAGUUAGUUGGUGAGGUAACGGCUCACCUAGGCAAUGAUAGGUAGGCGGCCUUAACGGGUGGUCGCCCACACUGGGAUUGAGAUACGGCCCAGACUCCUACGGGAGGCAGCAGUCGAGAAUAGUCUACAAUGGUCGGAAGACUGAUAGUGCGACGCCGCGUGAACGAUGAAUCCCUUCGGGGUUAAAGUUCUUUAAUAUGUGAGCAGUGCUUCUUAUAUUAACAGUAUGGGGAGAGAGAUAUUAGCAUAUGAAUAAGCAACGGCUAAACUCCGUGCCAGCAGCCGGGUAAUA